rnacentral:rRNA from 1 species
GUGCACCAGGCGAGAAUCUUCGGCAAUGGGCGCAAGCCUGACCGAGCGACGCCGCGUGCGGGAUGAAGGCCUUCGGGUUGUAAUCCGCUGUCAGAGGGGAGGAAAUGGCGGCCCUCAGGGUCGUCUUGACCAAACCUCAGAGGAAGGACGGGCUAAGUUCGUGCCAGCAGCCGCGGUAAGACGAACCGUCCAAACGUUAUUCGGAAUUACUGGGCUUAAAGGGUGCGUAGGCGGCCUGGCAAGUUGGGUGUGAAAGCCCUCGGCUCAACCGAGGAAUUGCGCCCAAAACUGCUAGGCUUGAGGGAGAUAGAGGUGAGCGGAACUUGGGGUGGAGCGGUGAAAUGCAUUGAUAUCCCAAGGAACACCAGAGGCGAAAGCGGCUCACUGGGUCUCUUCUGACGCUGAGGCACGAAAGCUAGGGGAGCGAACGGGAUUAGAUACCCACGUAGUCC